UACGUAGGGACCAAGCGUUGUUCGGAUUUACUGGGCGUAAAGGGCGCGUAGGCGGCGCGGUAAGUCACUUGUGAAAUCUCUGAGCUUAACUCAGAACGGCCAAGUGAUACUGCAGUGCUAGAGUGUGGAAGGGGCAAUCGGAAUUCUUGGUGUAGCGGUGAAAUGCGUAGAUAUCAAGAGGAACACCUGAGGCGAAGGCGGGUUGCUAGGCUGACACUGACGCUGAAGCGCGAAAGCCAGGGGAGCAAACGGG
rnacentral:rRNA from 1 species